rnacentral:rRNA from 1 species
AUGGCUGCCGCCGACGAGGCGCAGGGCUUCCGCCCGCUGGACGAGGCGUCGCUGGUGGCCUACAUCCGGGCGACCCCGGCGCUGGCCGCCAGCCUCGGCGGCCGCGUCGACGACCUCGCCGUCAAGGAGGUCGGCGACGGCAACCUCAACUUCGUCUACAUCGUCUCCUCCGACGCCGGCUCCGUCGUCGUCAAGCAGGCGCUGCCGUACAUCCGCUGCGUGGGGGACUCGUGGCCGAUGACGAGGGAGCGGGCCUACUUUGAGGCCUCCGCGCUGCGGGAGCACGGCCGCCUCUGCCCGGACCACGUCCCGGAGGUCUACCACUUCGACCGCGCCAUGUCGCUCAUCGGGAUGCGCUACAUCAAGCCGCCCCACAUCAUCCUCCGCAAGGGCCUCAUCGCCGGCGUCGAGUACCCCCUCCUCGCCGAGCACAUGUCCGACUACAUGGCCAAGACCCUCUUCUUCACCUCCCUCCUCUACAACUCCACCACCGAGCACAAGAAGCAAGUUGCUCGCUACUGCGAGAACGUGGAGAUGUGCAGGCUCACGGAGCAGGUCGUCUUCUCGGACCCAUACAUGGUCUCCAAAUACAAUCGCUGGAACUCGCCAUUCCUCGACAAGGACGCCGAGGCGGUGCGAGAGGAUGAUGGGCUGAAGUUGGAGAUUGCUGAAUUGAAGUCGAUGUUUAUCGAGAGAGCCCAGGCCCUGAUUCAUGGAGAUCUCCAUACUGGUUCCAUCAUGGUGACCCCAGAUUCCACUCAAGUGAUUGAUCCGGAAUUUGCCUUCUACGCGCCGAUGGGUUACGACAUUGGGGCCUUCUUGGGGAACCUGAUUCUGGCGUACUUUGCACAGGAUGGGCAUGCUGAUCAAACGAAUGACCGUAAAGCUUAUAAGCAAUGGAUAUUGAAGACCAUCGAAGAAUCAUGGAAUUUGUUCCAGCAGAAAUUUUUGGGACUCUGGAAUAAACACAAAGAUGGGAAUGGGGAGGCAUACCUGCCUGCCAUAUACAACAACCCGGAGCUUUUGAGCGAUGUACAGAAGAAGUACAUGACAGGUCUACUUCAUGAUAGUCUUGGAUUUGGUUCAGCCAAAAUGAUCAGGAGAAUUGUUGGAAUUGCCCAUGUCGAGGAUUUUGACUCAAUUGAGGAUGCCAGCAAGAGAGCAUCAUGUGAGCGCCGUGCGCUUGAUUGUGCCAAGGCAAUCCUGAAGGGGCGACGCCAAUUUGAGAGCAUCGAGCAGGUUAUUGUGCAUGUCCAAUCAGUAAAUCAUGACUGA